CCGAGUGAGGGUCCUCUCGGGCCCGACCUCCCAACCCUAUGUUUACUGAACCUCUGUUGCUUCGGCGGACCCGCCUCACGGCCGCCGGAGGAUUGUCACCGAUCCUCUGGCCAGCGUCCGCCGACGGCCAACCUUUAAAAACUCUGAAUGAAUCGUGUCAUGAUGUCUAAGUACAAUUGCAAAAUUAAAAGCA
rnacentral:misc_RNA from 1 species